rnacentral:rRNA from 1 species
GGGGCUAUCAUGCAGUCGAGCGAACUGAUUAGAAGCUUGCUUCUAUGACGUUAGCGGCGGACGGGUGAGUAACACGUGGGCAACCUGCCUGUAAGACUGGGAUAACUUCGGGAAACCGAAGCUAAUACCGGAUAGGAUCUUCUCCUUCAUGGGAGAUGAUUGAAAGAUGGUUUCGGCUAUCACUUACAGAUGGGCCCGCGGUGCAUUAGCUAGUUGGUGAGGUAACGGCUCACCAAGGCAACGAUGCAUAGCCGACCUGAGAGGGUGAUCGGCCACACUGGGACUGAGACACGGCCCAGACUCCUACGGGAGGCAGCAGUAGGGAAUCUUCCGCAAUGGACGAAAGUCUGACGGAGCAACGCCGCGUGAGUGAUGAAGGCUUUCGGGUCGUAAAACUCUGUUGUUAGGGAAGAACAAGUACAAGAGUAACUGCUUGUACCUUGACGGUACCUAACCAGAAAGCCACGGCUAACUACGUGCCAGCAGCCGCGGUAAUACGUAGGUGGCAAGCGUUAUCCGGAAUUAUUGGGCGUAAAGCGCGCGCAGGCGGUUUCUUAAGUCUGAUGUGAAAGCCCACGGCUCAACCGUGGAGGGUCAUUGGAAACUGGGGAACUUGAGUGCAGAAGAGAAAAGCGGAAUUCCACGUGUAGCGGUGAAAUGCGUAGAGAUGUGGAGGAACACCAGUGGCGAAGGCGGCUUUUUGGUCUGUAACUGACGCUGAGGCGCGAAAGCGUGGGGAGCAAACAGGAUUAGAUAC